rfam:Emmonsia pasteuriana TAMH 9510 supercont1.233, whole genome shotgun sequence.
GGGCAAUUGGUUUAGUGGUAUAAUACCCCCUUAGCAUCCGAUUUAUAUUGGAACAAACAUUUGGGGGUGGUCGGGAGUUCGAUUCUCCCAUUGUCCA